UUAGGGAAUGUGAUGUAAUUCUUAGUCGGUAUGGGCGAAAGCCCAAGAAGACCCCGCCCACAAUUUUCCUCGAGCAUUUCUUUUUCUCGUAAACAUUAUUUUUUCUCUCAAUAAAAUUAUUUCAUACUUUUUCUCCAAUUCCUCCGAACAAACGCACAAGUACAUUUUUGUCAGUUUCCACGAUUUUUGAAAUCUGGGAUUAAGAUCUAUGAUUGUUCUUAUUCCUUAACCCCUAUUUCUGAAAUUCUGAUUUAAUUUAUAAAUUAAAAUAAAAAGGGGGAAAUUCAAAUUCCUCCAAUUUAGCGGUUUAAUGAGGAGAAAAUAUGUAAAUAUGAAUAAAGGUUACUAAAAUCAGCAGUUAACACUCCAUUAGCAAAAUGCCCCUUUACGUUGAUCGCUAUGUUCCAAAGUUUCUUCUGUCUUUCACCGAGAUUCUCUGCAUCUUAUUGAGAAACUUUCGGGUUUGGGUUGAUUCUUCUUUUUAUAAUUUUUAAUGUGAAACUAUAGAGAAAGUUCUGGGCCGAAACAUCAAUAGAAGUCUCACUGGUUGCAGAGAAUUGGAAGCCUCUGCUUGCUGGAAUCAUUUUCUCAGGCUUACUUUUUAAUAACUGAUCGUUGAACUUAGACUUGUUUAUUAGUGCAUUAAGAAAAUGUUGAUUUUUCAUUUAUGUAGUAGUAUCAAUUAAGGGAUCUUUAUUUAGCUGAUCAUUUUGGCAAGUUUGAUGACAAAUUUUAGGCGGGUCUGUUUUAUUAUUACAUAAUUUUACAAAUUUAUUAUUAUUUUUUUAAUAAAAUAAAUUAUGCCAAACGAUAGGCUAUGCGAUAGUGGCAAUGAUUUGAAAUGAAAUGAGGCUGUUGUUCGCCUAUGCUUCGAAAUGCAUAAAUGAAUAUUUCCCCUUUUUUUCCCUUUCAAUUGGUUAUAAUAUCCGCUUCAAUCUGGAUCGAAACUCGUCAGCUUUUCUUGUACUUCUUCUGAUUCAUGUUUAUGCAUCGGUUCUAACAUAUCUUGCAGUCUUUUUGUACAGACAUAUAAUUUAGUGGUGCUUCCUUCUUCUUCUUGCUCUUUUUUUUUUUUUUCCCAGUUAGAUUCUUUAAUUUUUCUUUCAUUAUAUUCCAUGCUUCAAGUUCAAUGUUAAAUUGGUAUUUUAUGUAUGGUAAUGAAUAUGCCUUUUUCCUGUUGAUAGUGUACAUACACGGGUUAGCUGCUCAUGGAAUUCAUUACUUACAUAGGCCAGGGCCAUCACUUCAGCAUACUGGCUGUUUGCUUCUUCCUGUGCGGAAACUGUUGUGAAUAGUGUGCUUCCUUUGUACCUGAUGUUAAAUUUACGUCAUUACCCUCUUUUUGGCCAUUUCAGGAACUUGGUUAGGAUAACGCUUACACAAGUGAGACUCUUUUCACUUUCAUCAUUUGUUCUUUUCUGUUGAUGUUGCAGUGUUAUCUACCAAGAUCACCUAUGAUACUGAUGCUUUUAGUAAUGCCAAGGACCCCAUUCUAUGUUUCUUUUGUCAUCAUACACAGCAUUUCACUUAGUUUUGCCCUUUAGCUUCGGAUCUUCGGAUCUGCCUUACUUUUUACUGGGAUUGACUGAAACGUACAAUAUCUUAUGGUAUUGUUAAUAGUGUAUUUCAGUGUUGCAUUAUUUAACCUGUUUAAGAUAGUGAGAGUAACAAUUCUGAUCAUCCUGUUGCAGAAUUACCUGACUGAUCCACUGCUACCUGUGAGUAGAGAAAAAGGAUACCAGGAGCCUGGAAGAGCGCCACAAAUUACCUGAGUGGAGUUUCUGUUUUAGAUUGCAAAAUGAGUAUGGAUUAUUAGUAGAAACUUCCAGUCAUCAUACUGAUUUUCACCUCCUCUUGCUUCCCUUGUGACAAUUCAAAAUUGUUAAUAUGCCUGCAGAAUCAUCGAACACAUGGAUUACAAGGUUAAUUAAGAACCCAGCCAUUGGUGAAUUGUACACAAACAUAAGCAAUGCUGAAGAUAGCUCUGCCGGUUUUAUUGUUUAUUUGGACCGCGGAAUUGAUACUGGGAUGUACAGGUCCUGUAUACUGGGAGAACAUGUUCCAUCAAUAAGAAUUUGCAUUAGCCAGGGACAGCUUGUCAUGUAUGAAUUUUGAAUAACACUGCUAAAAAAUUUGGUCCACAAAUUUUGAGAUGAUAAGGUGCAUAUGAAGCAAGAAAAGAAUAAGAGGGGAACAUGGUUAUGUCGAUAGUUUCACGGUGGGAAGAGCUUGACCUUAAAUUUUUUUGAGAUUAGAUGCUCUUAUAGUCAAUAAUACUAUGAUGUCCCACAAUAAUACUUCAUAUAUACCCUUCUUUUGAUUGGAAGCUGAAAUGUAAUUAAACAUUGGAGACAGCACUCGUUACAUCACAUGCACGCCUGUGCUUUCUCUCCCCAUCAAAGUCACUGCACACUUUCCCUUUUUAGCUCUUAUCUUUGCUACCAACAUGAUUUUCUCUUAUUUGCUGCUUUACCACUGUCAAAUUUAUUGAAAAGGAAACUGAUCACUUUUCUACUUGCAGCACCAAUCUAGGCCAUUCAAAAUCUUGUAUCAGCUAGCGGAGCCAGCACCCUUCUUCAACAAAUUGGAGCUUCCUUCUUCAGUAAACACAUCAGUAAAGGUGCUCCCUUUUUUACCCAUUUACUCUUCAGUGUUACUGUGGACAGAUUGUACAAUUUGAUCCUGCAGACUCGGGUGUUUCACCAAUAAGAGUAAUUAAGCACAUAAACAAACUAUUCAAAGUGUGUAUGUUCUCAGAUCCUGAUCAUUUGCAAGUGUAAGUAAAAAAAUACAGAUGCCAGGUUGCUGAUGAACAUGUGGUCCACAAGCUAUAGAGGGAUGAAUCUAAUGUUAAGAAUUUUGGUGCAAUCAUCAACUAGUUUUUUUAAAAAAAAGGGAACUUUGCCCUUAGCUUCCCAAUGACCCUGCUUGGUGAUCCAUGUCUUAAAGUUCCCAUACAGAUCUUAGGAGCAUCCUCAUUGUCUGUGCUAAAAUCUUUAGCAGAAGCAACUUGCUGAAACCGUGUGCAUAUUUUUUUAAUUAAUUAAAAGUUUGUAAAGUGAAAGAGUUUGUUUACUCAUGUGGGUUCACCAAUCACCCGUUGUUUAGUAGGGUAGAUAGCACAAUUUUUGUGGGUAUUGUUGCAUGCAGUAGAUUAUGGCAACUGGAAAAGAAAGACAGGUCCAUGCAUGUUGAGUCAAUUGAGCUGGAAAAGCCUGUCAAGCAGAACCUCAUCUUUGGAUUGGGUAAUUUUUCAUCAUUUGCUCCAUGCCUUACUCAAGACGUCAAUUAUUUCAUUGUCAAAUAUUAUAUAAGUGAAAUAGCUCAAGCAUUAUUAUUGAAUCUUAUAAUAAUUUUUCUUUUUCAAA